CAAUGAUGCCUUGGGUGAUGCCCAACUCCUAGACAACGCUCAAUUAGAUCAGCAUGCCGGUGAAUCAGACGAUGUAUUGAGAGAAAUAAUGGAUUACGUCAAACGCGAAGCUCGUCAGAAGUAGCACCUCAGUCGGUGGACCGAGUUUCACUCGUGACUUGAAAAAUACAAUUUUAUUAAUUAAAGAGAAAACAUGUACAUAAGAUAACAAUGGACAUUGGUACUGGGAGAAAUCAUCCAAUCAUCAGCCUCUUAUCAAUGGACUUUAUAAUGUAAAUAAUGUAUUUAUAUUUAGUUUAACUAUAUUAAUAUUUUGUUGAAUACGUAAUGAAAAAUUGCGAAAAGGACUUUUGGAUAUGUCGGCUAUUACAAAGACGGAUUCAUUUAUUAUCCUUAUUACGCUCAUGAUUUAUUUGGGAAAGUACUAUAAAUAUUGUUUCGUCCUCUAUGUUUCGCUUUAACAUCAUUAAUUUUGAUUGUACUUGCUUGAAAGGAAACCUUAUUAUAAAUAUUUAUAUUAUGCGGGGCCAUAGCUACGAAUGCCAGAGGGAAAAUAAGUGCAAUUAUAACAUAAUCCCGAGAAACAUGCACUAUUACAUGUCGUCACCUUGUAUUUAACCCGUUGGUUACUAAAUUAUCUAAUUCCCAUAGGCUUAACACAGGGACCACCAAUGUUCCAGUAAGCAAAGGGUUAUUACUAACUAACAAGCAAACUUAAAGAACAGAGCACGUAUAUUUACUCCGGAAAUUGUGUUUAUGUCUAUUUCACGGUAAUGUUUACUUCUUAACGUAUUGUGCGGGAUAAAACCAUGGCAACGAUAAUAGAAGCAACGAAAUUUAACUAUAAAUAUGGUAAAUAACAUCUGACUCCAAAUAAUAUGUAUAAUUAUUGGAUCACUUUCUUCAUUGAAUAUAAUGAAAAGCUUAAUCUACAACAUUUUCCAUGGGGUGGGGUGGGGCAGGGGUAUCUUUAAAUGAAAAAAGGUAUUAUUUUGAAGUGUGCCAAAUACUGCAGAGCCGUUACGUUCCUUCAAACAAAACACAAAUGAAAUAUUCAUAUUUCAUAUCAAAAUCAUUCACUUUACUUACAGUGGUACUUGUUUCCUCUUUUUAAUUAAGUAAAUUGCUACCGGAAAUGUAAUAAAUUUGGUCAGAUAUGUAUGCAAAAUGGGACUGAAAUGCAAUUUAUUGUUUAAUAGCCUCGAGUGAAACUUUAUUACACGGGAGCAUUUCAAAU